rnacentral:rRNA from 1 species
AUUGAACGCUGGCGGCAUGCUUUACACAUGCAAGUCGAACGGCAGCGCGGGCUUCGGCCUGGCGGCGAGUGGCGAACGGGUGAGUAAUACAUCGGAACGUGCCCAGUAGUGGGGGAUAGCUCGGCGAAAGCCGGAUUAAUACCGCAUACGACCUGAGGGUGAAAGCGGGGGAUCUUCGGACCUCGCGCUAUUGGAGCGGCCGAUGGCAGAUUAGCUAGUUGGUGGGGUAAAGGCCUACCAAGGCGACGAUCUGUAGCUGGUCUGAGAGGACGACCAGCCACACUGGGACUGAGACACGGCCCAGACUCCUACGGGAGGCAGCAGUGGGGAAUUUUGGACAAUGGGCGAAAGCCUGAUCCAGCAAUGCCGCGUGUGUGAUGAAGGCCUUCGGGUUGUAAAGCACUUUUGGCGGGAACGAAAAGGACUGUGCCAAUACCACGGUUCGAUGACGGUACCCGCAGAAUAAGCACAGGCUAACUACGUG